CUCCCCCGUUGUGCCUAAAAUAAUAUAAAAGUUCUAGUCAGAGGCGUAGCUUGUAGUUUCUGGCUCCCAAUGCAAAAUCUGCAACAGGGCCCCAAAUGCCAAUUAUGAUACUGGUCUCUUAUGGGGCAGAUGUGUUUUGUGACACGCUUAGGCACCAGGGCCCCUGUGCCACUGUUACUUCUAUAGCUAUGCCCCUGGUUCUAGCUAUUCAACGGGUUUUCAUGCUUUGUCAUAUAGAGUUAUGUAAGAACAUUCUGCAUCAUAAGCUACUUCAGUGAAGAGGUGGAACCUGGUUUGGGAAAAAACUAAAAGUACAGGCUAUACAGUAGGCAUUGACAAAAAGCAGGUCAAUAUUGAAAUGUUCUGGUGAAGGAAGAAAGAUGGGCCAGAAAUCCAGGAACAAGCCAAGGGCUAGGUAACAAAGACCAGACAGAACCAGGAUACAAUGGAACGGACAGAAGGUCAACCAAUCCACAAUCGGUCACUUUAAGUUCAAGUAAUAUGCAGAAGCCAUAUCAAAGUAAAGAAAAUAAUUUUACUGCUGCCGGUGUGUGACAGACAGGGUCGAGGGGUGGCAGAAGUUUCAUCAGGCGUGAGAAACUCAGACGCAUAAUAAGCCAAUAAACCAGGAGAGACAUAUUGUGGCCAAGGAACAAGAAAGAUGCAUUGCUGGUAUACAUAGGACAGAGUCCCCUGAGAUGAGUCUAGAAAGCCCAUAAGCUUUGGAGUUCAAAGCAUUGUUCUGCAUCAUUUCACAGAAUAUCUGAGGAGGGUACCCUGCUGUAAAAGAGAACUGCAUGAGAGAAAUAAGCCACGCCCCCUCAUCUCCCCCUCCAGGGAGACGGAGGUCUGCAUGAGAGAAAGAGGCCACGCCCACUCAUCUCCCCCUCCUGGAGGAUGCAGGUCUGCAUUACAGAAAGAAGCCACGCCUCCUCAUCUCCCCCUCCCGGAGGAUGCAGGUCUGCAUUACAGAAAGAAGCCACGCCUCCUCAUCUCCCCCUCCCGGAGGAUGCAGGUCUGCAUUACAGAAAGAAGCCACGCCCCCUCAUCUCCCCCUCCCGGAGGAUGCAGGUGUGCAUUAGAGAAAGAAGCCAGAGCAGGGGGAGAGAGAGGACGUACUUCUGAGGACGCAGGUCUGCACUGAAAGAAGACAGAGAAGAUAAGUGUUAUCUGAAGGGGAGGAUAACAAAGUGCAUGGGCUGGGGAUGUAUAGACUGCAGGGGAAUAAAUCUCGGACAGGGGAUGAUUUCUGUGUGUGAAGGGGGAGGGGGACUCCUGAAUGACACAUGCUGGGAGUUGUAGUCCCUGUUAUAUGUGUGUAUGCUAGUGUUUACAAACCAGUGUGCCUCCAGCUGUUGCAAAACUACAACUCCCAGCAUGCCCUGACAGCCUUUGACUAGUGUUUCAACGUAUCUUAUUUAGUACAAUAAAGAUCUUAGUUCUAUAUUAAUUUUGGAUAAGGAUAGGAUCUGAAUGGCUAUCUUGGUGUGAAUUUGGGGACUUUGGACCCCCUGCGAUCUCCUGUCUGGUGCCCUGUUCUCCUCAUACACAUGGAGCAGAGGUCAACACACUCCCUCAAUGCAUCUCAAUGGAAGAGCCAGAGAUAAAUGAGUGGUGUAUCUCCCGCUGUCCCAUAGAGAUGCGUGGAGUGGGAUUGUCGACCACCGUCGUUUUGUGCAUGAGGAGAGCUGUGGUGCCUGUCAGAAGAUUGAGGGGGAUCCCAGUGGUUGGACCAGCCUGGUUUUCUAUGGACUUCUGAAUAAUGCUGAGGCAGAGCAUGAACAUGCAUGCUGUGGCUCCAUUCACUGGUGGAAAGUUGACCUCUUUUCUCAUGAUCAGUGGGGGUCCCAGUAGUUGGACCACAACCGACCAGCUAGAUAUCCUCUAUCCUGUGGAUAGGGGUAACAUUUAAUCCCUGGAUAAGUCCUUUAAUGCUUCUAUACCUUCUGGCCUACAACAGGAAAAUGUGUGGUGGCCCAGUUCAGGAGCUGCACCCCUGUACCCAUGCUGUCCUGUCAGCCUCCAUACAGUGACCCCUGGGCCCCCCCUGCACCUGUAUAAUAUGUAUAUUCUGUAUGUAUGUAUAAGUGCCUGUGUUAUAUAGUGUAUUGCAUAUAAAAUGUGUUAUGCCUUUAUGAACAGUUGACAUGUGAUUAACCUGUUGUCAUGAGAUUGUAACCCAGUGAGGUAACAGUGACAUAAGGGUGAUCUAUGGGACCCCUCAGAAGCCGUGGAUGGAGCCCCUUCUCUUUCUCUUCCUGCUUAGUUGAGUUGCAGUAAGAUCAAGUCCAUUGUCCCACAGGUCAAGUCAAAACCUGGUAAGCUACAGAAGGGGUGAAGUCAGUCAAAGUCAUAGUCAAGUCAGUCCAAGUCAUCCUGUAUCAAGUCAGUGUGGUCUGCAUCCAAAUUAUCCAAGUCCACUAUAAGUCCUAGCAAGCCCUAAGCCACUGGUCACCUCCAUGGGCCUAGCUAAGCCUUAUAGACUGUUACACCUGUCUGACUCAGUAAAGCUGCCGUUGUUCCGUAACUUUUCGUCUGAGUCAUAUGUACCUAGCCCAGGAUCCAGCGGUUUUCCUUCGGGUGGUAUAGAGGAUAAACCCCACCCUGUCAUAAACACAAAUGGUUAAUGCCAUCUGCCUCUUGGGUAAUUCCAUCUGCCCUGCAUCACACCCUCUACCUCAAAUGGAAAUACAGUAGCAGCAAAGACUCACUGAAAACAAUGACAUCAGAAGAGUAAACAGUAAAGUGUCAAUUAGAUAGAAUAAAUAACCACGAAUACAGAGGGUUUUAAACUAUGCGGCAAUAACAUUUUGUUGUAAAUGUUCCCAAAAUGCGUCUGAAGUUGCAGAAGGUACAGAAACCAGAAAGAACAAGACAUCCCAGGGCGUUAGUAAUGGCAUGAAUAAUUGUAUGUGAAAAGAGGAGGCAUGUUUAUCCCAAAUCUUGUCCCACUAAAACUAAAGUGUUUCCCUAUGUUGAGCAAUAAACUUGUUAAUCCUGAGGCUCUCUCUUGGCCUGACUAGAAAAUAACUUUACCUACCCAUUUAAUGGUAUCCCCUAGGAGCGAGUAACGGGAAAGACCAUUCUAUGAACUUCCUGUUCAGCUGCAAAAUUGGAGAUUCUCAGCAAAAAAACAAAGUGCUCCUGGUUUUCAUUUGCAUGUGUGGUGGCCCAGUACGGGAUGGUGUUACCCCCUCCCUUUCCUGCUCUGUCAGGCAGUGUCCCUUCGUGUCCCUAGGGCCCCCUGCAGUGUUUCCCCCAUUGUAAAUAUGUUAUGCAUUAUGCUGUGUAUUGUACCUUUAAGAAGUUAUACUAUGUGAUUGUUACCCAGGAGAUACUAGUGACCAGCUGACCCCAAGAGUGACCUAAGGAAUCCCUGCUAGUCUCCACCAUAUAAGCCCUGGGUGGAGCUAGCUCUCUUUUUUCCCUCUCUUGGAGCUUAGAGCUCUGUGUGCUGCCGUCCAGUGCAGUUAAGCUGUCUCAGUGUGUUUGUCCGGAGCAUUGGAAGCCUCAAGUCAAGCCCUGCAUCCACAAGUCAAGUACAAUUAAGCUAAAGUCACCGUCCUGUCAGUAACAAGUCAGUUAAGUCAUCUGUCUACCCAGCGUGGCCAGCACUAAAUUCUCCCAUCCAACUUCAAGUCCCAGCAAGCUUGCAAGGUCUCUGUGUCACUGGUCACCUCCUUGGGAUAUUGGCUGCACUGCAUAGACUGUUCCAACUGUCUACCCUCAGUAAAGCUACC